AAUGAACGCUGGCGGCGUGCCUAACACAUGCAAGUCGCACGAGAAAGGGGCCUUCGGGUCCCCGGUAAAGUGGCGAACGGGUGAGUAACGCGUAGGUAACCUGUCCUCGAAUGUGGAAUAACCUGGCGAAAGCCGGGCUAAUACCGCGUGACGUCCGUGGAUCCUCGGAUCUGCGAACCAAAGGUGGCGAGCUUCGAGCGCUGCCGUUCGAGAAGGGGCCUGCGUCCCAUUAGCUAGUUGGUGGGGUAACGGCCUACCAAGGCGACGAUGGGUAGCCGGGCUGAGAGGCUGUCCGGCCACACUGGAACUGGGACACGGUCCAGACUCCUACGGGAGGCAGCAGUGGGGAAUCUUGCGCAAUGGGGGAAACCCUGACGCAGCGACGCCGCGUGGGCGAUGAAGGCCUUCGGGUCGUAAAGCCCUGUCGAGCGGGACGAACCGUGCGAGCUCUAACAUAGCUCGCGCCUGACGGUACCGCUAGAGGAAGCCCCGGCUAACUCCGUGCCAGCCGCCGCCGUAACAC
rnacentral:rRNA from 1 species